CCCUAUGAAAUUGUAGUUUGUACCGACUCUGCUAGUGCCUGUUGCAAAACUUGGCAAGUAUCUAGAUGAGCUGGUGUACCCCUCAGAAGACCUCUGCGUGCCCCCAGGGGUACACGUACCCCCUGGUUGAGAACCACUGAUUCUUUGAUUGGCCUGUCUGCUGCUGGAGGGAGAGCGAGACAGGCCACAUGCGUGUAUUGGGGGGGGCAUCACACCCUGCAGUGUGUGUGUAAGACCGGCAGAGGCCUGGCAGGGGGUGCCACAGGCCAGAAAACAGCAGCAAGCUCCCCCCCCCCCCCAGUGGGAAAGAGGCGCGAGGCGGAGAAGUUUCCCUAGCUGCUUCGGACCCCAGCUCGCGCGCUGCCAAGCCCCACGCCUUGUCCCGCCUCGGGCACCGCCUGCAACCGGGACGGCUCCAGGGACCCCCCCCCCGGCCCGCAAAGAGCCCGGGGGCACAGGACAAGGAAGGCGGGGCCCGGGGUCUGGUUCUCCCCGCUUGCAGCCAGGAGGGCGCUCCCCUCCCGCAGCCGGCCGAAUAAGGAGCGAACCCCAGGGCUGGGAGCGGAGCGGAGCUCAAAGCCACCCCUGCCGCGCGCACACAACCCCGGCCCCCCCAAGCUCCGCGCGCUGCAGAGCAGGCGGCCCGCAGGAAACACCGGGCGGGGAGCAAAGGGCCGCCGGCACGCUCACACCCCGGGGUCUCGCCCGCUGUGCGCUCCUGAGACCCACUUGCCGCCUUUCAGCUCCCCUGAUCUCCGAGGUCAGCUCGGAUUCCCGCCCCAGCGCGGUGGGUUUGCUUGCAGAGGGGGCGGUUUGCUGCAACCCCUCCUGCCUUUAUGGAGUUCACCACCCUGCGCCCCUUCCAGCAAACCUCUCCGCUCCGGUGCGUCCUUCCCUCUGAGCGCCGGCUGAAUUAUGCAGCGGGGGAUUCUGCAGCCGACUCCAUUUAAUGCCACUGGGCCAACGGAGGGGACAGGCACACCGGGGGGGGGGGGGGGGGGAAUUAACCCGGAUCAGAGCCAUCUUCAGCGGGGAGAAUUCCUAACGCGUGCAACCCGCCUUGUAACUACACGAAGUCAAUAGCCGUCCAACCGGGGUGCGCUUUGUACUCACCUUCCGCCUGCUGCUGGGGCAAUACGGCAAAUCCCGCAAAGAGGAGCGCGACCCGGAGCCACACUUCCAGCUCAGCAGAUCCGUGCAAAGCUCCUUCUGCAAUGGGGUCUUGGAGGAGCGGGAAGGAAAGGCGGGGUGGGAAUCGGAAAGGGGCCGUUGCAAAGGGGAAAAGAACCUGCAAGGAGGAAAUCGAGUGAGCUCCAGGGAGCCCAAAGCAACGUGCCUGCAGAAAAUGACCAAAUGAACCUGGAGCUAGGAGCCCGAGACGCUCCUCCCGUCUCAGUGUGAAAAUGGACCCCAGGACUCAAGGAACGGGCAGAGAGUCACGUGAGAGAGCGAGCAACCUGAUCCCCUUAUUCAUUCCGCAGGAGUUUGCAAGCUUGCCUUUUGUCUGAGCCUGGGUCCAAACUAGUGCCACACAGCCAGGAAGGGAGAAGGUAGCAAGAUCCCUCCUGCGAUCCGGCAGCUCCCGCUGAGAAAGUUAAUACUUAGUACUAGUAACAUGGGCUGGAUCCUGGUCCCACUGAAGUCAAAGAGAGUUUUGCCACUGCCUGCCGAGAAAACAGGAUCUGGCCCUAAAAGCAAGCAGCCGCCCCGUCCUUUGUAACAUACUGCAGCAUACUUUAGCAUUAAAAAAAAAAAAUCUGAGCUCUUAUGGUGGGGCAGCAUAGUCCAGUAGCUAAGGCACUGGAGGGGAGACAAGAGACUGACUAGCUGUGUGACCCUGAACAAUCUCUUUACCUCACUCUGUCCUCCUCUCCUUUGUCUAUUUCAAUUGUUGGGACAAACACUGUCUCUUAGGAUAUGUUUGUACAGUGCUUGACACAAUGAGACCCCAGCCUUGCCUGGAGCCCCUAGGUGCUGCUGUAAUACAAAUACUUAAUAUUUAUAUUAAUAUAUUCAUAUACUUUUAGUGGUAGUAUUAAUUACCCACUACCCCUUGUUUUAACAUUCAGGACAUGGAUUCAGAAGGGCUUCAUACACACACACACGAAGGUCUGCCCCUAUGGAUCUGAUUGCAAGAUGGGAGUUUUCACUUACUCCCGGGGACAGGGUCUGUGUCUCCUUAUAUCUGUUUGUACAACACCAAGGUCAUUCUCCAAUGCUCAGUAAAUAGUAAAACCGUAAUACAUUUUCACUGGCGCAAUAGGGCCUAAAUGUAAAGCAGCUUUUUCCUCAACUGAGGUUUCACUUCUGAUAUGAAGAGAAUAAUCGUUAGCUUUGCACCCUCUCCUGAGAAAUCCACAGCACCUUCAUCUUUAAAUAUAUUUAAGGGAUAAUGUCAAUGGAACAGCAUGUUGUCACAGAAUAAUGGUCUCCUGCUGGUACUUACAGAAAAUAAAUGUCAGGGCAAAUUCUAGAUAUUUAUCAUCAAAGCAGGAGGUGCUGAUCCUGUGCCAGUGUUGAAUUCCAAUGACUUUAUUUCAAUUAUCCCAAAUAAAUGACUGAUGUAAAUUUAAUCUUUUGGGGCUAGAGUCUGAUCCCCUUACUCAGGUUGAGUAGCACUGUGCUCCACAACUGGUCCCACUGAAAUGAGGAGUGUUCUGAUUCCCUCGCCCCCUUAUUCCCUUUCCUGGGCAAAGCUAGCCCAAAAGGAAACAAAAACAAGUUUGCUUAAAACAAAACUACAUUAAUAACAAAUGUAUUUUUAAUAAAUAUUGAACCUUACCUAAAUACAGCCCUGAAAGCUGUCUGCUUUUCCCAUUCAUUUUUUUGUGGAAUGAAUUUCUCCCGCUCCCUAAUUCCUUGAAAAUAGCCUCUUAAAAGUGAAUGUGAUUUUGUGGAUUUGGUUUAAUUACAAUGUAUUUUUGCAGCCAUGCUGUUGGUUUUGCGAGGAGACUAUAUAUAUAUAUGAAAGGGAAAAAGUUAUUUUUAAUGUACAAUUAUGAAGUCUGGAACACAUGACUUAUGAGGAGAGGCUGAGAGAACUGGGAUUGUUUAGUCUGCAGAAGAGAAGAAUGAGGGGGGAUUUGAUUGCUGCUUUCAACUACCUGAGAGGUGGUUCCAGAGAGGAUGGUUCUAGACUAUUCUCAGUGGUAGAAGAGGACAGGACAAGGAGUAAUGGUCUCAAGUUGCAGUGGGGGAGGUUUAGGUUGGAUAUUAGGAAAAACUUUUUCACUAGGAGGGUGGUGAGGCACUGGAAUGGGUUAUCUAGGGAGGCGGUGGAAUCUCCUUCCUUUGAGGUUUUUAAGGUCAGGCUUGACAAAGCCCUGGCUGGGAUGAUUGAGUUGGGGAUUGUUCCUGCUUUGAGCGGGGGGUUGGACUAGAUGACCUCCUGAGGUCCCUUCCAACCCUGAUAUUCUAUGAUUCUAUGUCGAUUCUGACCAUUACAUUGCAGCAUAUUACAAUUUCUCAGAGUAAAAAAUGCAGUGGGACUCAAUCCCCUCCCCUUGAAGUCAAUGUGAGUUUUGCCAUACACAAUAUAUAACCCACACUGGCUUCUGAUUGGUUAAGGUGUCAGCACAUAAUGGCCAGCAAACCAGCAAUCUAACUCGUUAAUACAGAUUCCAUUUGGCAUCAUUUAUUUUAAGAGGGUUACAGUAAACACAUUUUUGUGUGGGAAAGUUUAGGAACUACCUUCAUGAAGAGCAUUUAGGCAUUCACUUCCUGGUGGUUUUAUUCAAGUCAGACAGCCAAGCAAAGAAUGAUAGGCUGGAAUUAAUAAACCAAUGUCAAUGGUAAAUAUUUACCACUCUGAGGUAGACUCUAUGUGUCUUCAUAAUUUUGGUUUGUUCUUGCUUUGCUUAUUGUUUACAGUUUUUGUCUGUGAAGGGAGGCUCUGCUUAAGUUAUUAGAAUACUGUAAGGAAUAUAUUGUGCUGUUGGUAUUAUAUAUAUAUAUUACAUACAAAAGGUAACAUUAAAGGAAUGUUAAGGUUGCAAAGCCAAGCACUGAAAAGUUAGGAAAUGCCAGAAUUAAGGUUGCUGAUACAACCUUAAUUCAGCCCCUUUGUGUGUGUGCACUAUUCUACAGUCUUUAAUUAUACAAUCAUACAUCCUGUUUUUUCCAGAGGAUCCCUGCCUCUUCCCUCCCCCUCCCACCUGCCCCCAAGAGGUACUAGUAAUUUUGGGUGCCUUGAACACACAAUCUGAGACAACCUACAGGAGACAAAUUUUUUUCGGAGGAUGGGCGCUCAGCACUUUCUGCAAAUCAGGCCCCUUUACAGAGUCUCAAGUUGAGCACCCAAAAUCACUAGUCAGUUUUGGUCAUAUACACGUAUAUUAUGUGUAACAAUAUAUUAUAAAUAGAGUGAGAAUCCGAUCUUAAGUACACUGGUGUGAAUGUGAAGUAAUUCUAUUGCAUUCAGUUCAAUAGAAUGACUUCAUAUACACCCCAGUGUAUCAGAAUUGAGAAUAGUGAUUGGUUCAGUUGUACCUACCAUGCUGCUGAAGUCUUUUUCUCCGACUCACUUUAAAUAAAAUCUUUGUACUAAUAAGAUGUGAUCAUGCCAACAACUCUGAUCAUCCAUUGUCAUAAUCCAGUCUGGUCUAAAAAAUUGAUAUUUACUGAGAGAAACCAACUCUGAGAUGGAGAGCAAACAUCUUUUGAUACUAUAUGAAUUCCAUAAGUCAUCAUACUACAAUUCAUAAAAUUUCUGCAGAAACAAAAAUGUAAGCAUGGCAUGGAUCCAAACUGCAAAUAGCAAUGCAAAUUUGCAUGAUGAGUUUUGUGCUGCUUUAUCAGGCUAUUACUCAUUAGUUAAUAGUGGGAGGUGUUAAUUAUAAAGAUAGAAGCAGAGAGAGAAAUAAUGAAUACCACCAGUACAUACAUUUAAACAUCAGUAAAACAAAUGUUUUGCAUUCAUUUAAAAUCUAGUUGAAAUAAUUAAGGGAAAGAACUGUUGGCCCCAAGUCUCCCUGUCACUUACACAAGUGAAAAUCAGGAACAAUUGCAUUGAACUCAGUGAUGAGUCACUGGUGUGAGUCAGAAGAGGAUCGAACCCACUAUUCAUCCCUUUAAUAAACUCAGAACACCCAGACACACAACUUUCUGCUGCACAGUUUCAUUUUUACACCUAGCGCACAUGCAAGGGGGCAAUGACUAUGUGAAAAAUUUCAGGUUGCUUGUUGUCCUCAUAGUCCGUUAGCCUUGGUUGGAACGAAGGCCAUAAGCAAAGGUUUAUCCUUUUAAAGGUUUAAAGGAGACCAAGGAGGAGCAUUUUCUUGCCACGUAACCAUCCUGCUGAAAUGGAUGGAUGGCUUCUUUUGAAUUAUUGCUGCAGAAAAUUCUAGUUCUUCGUUUAGGCUCUUCAAAAGGUGGGAGGAGGGAAGGAACAGUACUCUUGAAACCUCUUUGAGUCUCUUUCAGAUAAGGAAGAAAAAGAAAAGCUUCAGGAUUCAGCAUGAGCUAGCGGACGGCGUACUGGACUGGGAGCCAGGAAACCUGAAUUCUAUUCCUUGCUCUGCCACUGCCCUGCUGUAUGACUUGGUCAUGUUGCUUCAACUCUCUGUUUCCCAUCCAACCCCUUAGCUGUCUAGAUUGUAAACUUUUUGGGACAGGGACUGUCUCUCAUGAUGAGCGUGUACAGCACUUUGCACAAUGGGGCCCCAAUCUUGGGGGAGGAGGGGUAGCUAGGUCACUGUAAUGCCAAUAAUAACAACAGAAAUGUUAAGUUGCCUCCUUCUGGGCCAUUGGCUUCUUUCGCUUCUCCCUGGAAGGAGACAAGUGCGGGAUGAAAAGUAAUCACUCAUUACGGAAGCUAGCUCAGUGCUUGCCACUUUGUGAGCAUUAACUCUCCCGCACACAUUCUACUCAGUUUGUUACCUGCCACCUACAUAAAUGACACCCCCGCCCCCCCCGUGAUUUCAGCUGGAUGCAGAAUUCUUCGCUUCCUGCCCUAAACUGUUACACAGUGUUGAUCUGUCCUUCUGUUUGGUUGCAGUGUUCCACCAGGGAGGCAACUGCUGUUCAGUGGGGGAGAAAGUGAAUAGUCUGUUGAAGAAAGGCACUGGACAGAUGUAAGGCAUUGUUAUUAGAAGUCUCUGGUUCGCUGAACCAGAAGGAAAUUACUCCCGUGAUCCCAGCCCUUCCUGUGGCCAUUUAACGCGCCAGUCUCAGUUCACUGAAACUGGCACAGGGUCCACAACACAUUUUGCGGUCACUGACUCUUAAGCAGCUGUAAAGUGACAAGACUCUGAACUGUUGCCCACUUGGGAGAAGAGGGUAAAUUUGUUGCCGGAUUCAAGCUCCUUUGGAAAGGGCAUUGGCUUCUUUUUCAAGUUGUGAUAACAAAAUACAGCAGCCUGGGGGAAGGGUCAAAUAAUCCUGCAUGCUUUGGUUCAUCCAGCCCUUCCUUGUGCACUGUCUCUCUCAUUUAUCUAGGCUACCUGUGGAAGUCCCACCUACCCGUCCAACAAGGCCAAAGCAACCUUUCUCCAAUGAAAGGAAUCCUCCAAAGCCCCUCCCUAGAUCAUGCCUAUCCCAUGUAAACUUGUACACUCCUGGUAUGAAUCACAUUUAACUGUACAUAGCCCUUGUGCCUUGACUUUAAAUGUUGUGCAUUGGGGCCUUGCACAAUUGGGUCCUACAAAUUACCUUUAAGGGGGGCUUGUGAGAAGGGAUAAGAAGGGAGGAUUAUGGUGGAGAAUAGAGAAGUCGUGGUUGGCCACGGAAACUCCUUAAUGGGAAUCUAAAGGUAAGCAGGCAGGAAAAGCUGUAGGUCUAGUUGGGUGAUACAGAGGAUCUGAGUCCUUGGACAGGGAACCUCCUUCACUGAGCUAUUCCAGACCUUAAUAAAAGGUUCAGACUCAAUUCAGCACUAGAGCAUAGAUUCAAGCUGAUUAUCUCACACUCUCUCUCUCUCUCUCUCACACACACACACACACACCCCUUCUCAGUAUCAAAACAAUUCCAGUCCCAUCAAAAGAACCAUACACCAAAUAUAAUGUCAACAGGAGGAGAGUUAUUUUGCAGUGACAGUGCGAAGGCUGUCACAAUUCUAUAAAGUCUGAAGCUGCUGUUAUAGUAACUUGUGUUAAUAAUUAAGUCUGUUCAAAAGAACCUGCUAAGUCAGUAAUAGACAAGCUCAAAUUCCAUCAUUUAAAAGCUUUUAGAAACGUAUCAGCUCAGGGGUUGAAAUGAAGAAUAUUUUGCCUUCGGAAAAAAAAAUGUGGAUUUAAAAAUAAAUCUGAAAUCUUUGGCCAGGGCCUCUGUACGGUUUCAGAAAUUUUCAUAGGCUUUAUAAAGCUCACAUAUCUAUGCAUUUUUCCAUCCCUAAUGAUGAUAUGAAUUGGAAGGUGAGGAAUUUAAUAUUGUUUCAUUUUUAUUUUGAAUAAAUG